AAUGCUCCUGCAGCUCGCGCUCCCGCGCCGAUCCCGGGAGCGUUCGGGCCGCCGUGCGCGAGCGAGGGGGAGUGCGCGCGGGGGGGAGCGCGCUCUUGAGUGUGGGGCGCGCGCUCGGUGGCGCGCAUGGUCGUGUUUGCGGACUGCCGGGCUGACCCGAGCCGGCGGGGAGCCGGUCUGCUCCUAGUGGCUGGCCGCCGGAGCGAGGUGAGGCGGCGGG
rnacentral:other from 1 species